CAAUAGCGUAUAUUAAAGUUGUUGCAGUUAAAAAGCUCGUAGUUGGAUUUCUGGGCUGGCCGGACGGUCCACCUCACGGUGAGAACUGGCUGGUCGGCCCUUCCUCUCGAAGUGUUGCGGUGUUCUUAACUGAGUGCUGUGGCAAUUCGGGACCUUUACUUUGAAAAAUUAGAGUGUUCAAAGCAGGCCUUCGCUUGAAUACAUUAGCAUGGAAUAAUGGAAUAGGACUUUGGUUCUAUUUUGUUGGUUUCUAGGACCGAAGUAAUGAUUAAUAGGGACAGUUGGGGGCGAUUAGUAUUUAAUUUAGUCAGAGGUGAAAUUACUUGGAUUUAUUGAAAGAACUAACUAACUGCGAAAGACA
rnacentral:rRNA from 1 species